CCUCAUGCCUUGUCAUUCGUGACAAUAUAUAUAUAUAUAUAUAUAUAUAUAUAUUGUCACGAAUGACAAGGCAUGAGG
rnacentral:pre_miRNA from 1 species